AUAAAACAAUAUUAACUUGACUUUAUUUACAAAAUAGAAAUGCUUAUUACGGAUAUGGUUCUACGAUUUGAUGUGACUUACUGCCGUGUUUAAGUGGACUGCAAGAUUAGACAUAAUUUUAUACAUCCACCUUGGUCUAUGGUGGUAUGAGUGGAUGACGCUGUACCUGAGCAGUAACCAAAUCGUUAUCAUCACUUACAAUAUAAUGAAACUUAUGAAACCCAUUACUUUAAUAUUAUUCAGCGAUUCAGUCACAGAAGACAGGAUAAAUUCAAGCAUUCAACGAGCCUACAUUUUAUAGAUAACAAUUUUUUGCUCUAGCGCCCGUGGAGUGUGGACGUCUUAGCCCGUUGUUUUAAAUCUUUUUAUUAUUCUAACUUCUUAAAUUAAAUUGUUUUCAUAAAUUCAGAAACCGAACGUUACAUUUUUAUUAGCACCAUAUCACGUUAUAUCAUUUUCUUUAAAUACGAUUAUAUUCACACAUUUUUUCAAUUUGUUUAAUGCACAUCAAUUCUAACGUUUAGUUUUUUUACCGUUUAAACAAUUACAUCAUGGCAGUAUCGGCAGCUGCUGCGUUACUCGAUGAACUUAUGGGGAGAAAUCGAAACGAUGGCCCCAACGCUCAAAAGAAACCUGUACAUUGGGAAGAUCCUGAGUUUUGUAAAUAUUUUAUGGUUAAAUUUUGUCCUCACGAUCUGUUUGUCAAUACCCGUGCUGAUCUUGGAGCUUGUCCAAAAGUUCACUGCGAAGAAGCUAAAACACAAUAUAAUGAAGCAAGUAGCCGUUCUAAAAUGCAAUAUGAAGAUGAGUUUGUGUCAUUUGCUACUAGUUUAUUAAAUGAUGUUGAUCGUCGCAUCGAAAAAGGGAAACAAAGGUUGGAGCUUAUGAAUAAAACUGAAACGCCGGUGUCCCAUUCUAAUAGUCAAAGUCAGAAAAACCAAGAACAAAUUAAAUUAUUGUCAGAAAAAAUUAAUGGGUUAGUGCAAGAAGCUGAACAAAUGGGUACACGAGGUCAUGUUGAAGAAGCUCAGGGACUCAUGAAGCUUUGCGAUCAGUUAAAAGAAGAACGUGAUACUUUGAGAAAGCAAAAUGAAAGCAUUCAUUGGUCACAAACAUAUGAACUAGCCGCUGCUCAAGAAAAACAAAUGGAAGUAUGUGAAGUUUGUGGAGCUUUUUUAAUUGUUGGUGAUGCUCAGUCCCGUAUUGAUGAUCAUUUAAUGGGAAAACAACAUAUGGGUUAUGCUCGUUUAAAAAAUGCAGUAAAUGAAAUACAAGAGCAAAGGAAAAAAUAUGUAGAAGAAAGAGAAAAACAACGGGAAGAAGAAAGAAAAAAACGCAUGGAUCGUACUAGGAGUAACUCUAAAGACGUAGAUAGACAUAGCCGCGAUGCUAAUAAUGACAAAAGAUCUAAAAGCUCCAGAGAUAGGUCUCGUCAUAGAAACAAUAGAAAAUCUGAAAGACAUGAAAGAGAAAGACGAAGAAGUAGAAGCCGUAGUGAUCGUCGGUCUUCUAAUAGUCAUAGGCAUAGAGGACAUAACGGUAACAGUCGCAGAGAUCACUGAAAAUUUGUUCAAGACAUGAUGUUACAAUCAUUAAUUCAGGUAAACAUUCUCUAUUUUAUUGUGUUAAAGCUUAUUUAGAAUUGAUUUUUGAAAACACAAUGCUAUUGACGAGGUGUGUAGUUUAAAAUGACAAUGGGGUUAAGCCUAUAAUAAUUAUAGUAAUUCUAAAAUAAAAACAAAAGAAAAAACAUCCUUAAAAAAAUAUUUGAAUGAAAACUCCUGUUACAACUAUUGUGUAAAUUAUCACAUAGCAGAAGAAAAUGGUCAUAAUGGGCGCUUUAUUUCAAAAAAGUGCUUACUCAUCAUUCGAAAGUCUGCAGACAUAACGAGGUUCGAAUAUCUGACGCAGUGUAUUAUGUUAAAAUGUACAAAAUAUACCAUUCUAAAAAAAAAUUUAAGAGGUAACAAUUCAAAAAACAAAUUAUAAUACUUAUGUUAAUAUUUUAUUUAAUGAAAUAAACAAUAUUCAUAAAAAAAAAAUGUUACUGUGCUUAUAAUUAAAAAACAUAUUUUACUAAUUUACAUUAUGUCAAAUUUAAACAAUUAAUACUUAAUAAUACAAUAAACAUUACUUGUCAACUAAGUAACGCAGUCAGUGCAUCAAAAAACUUUGGUCGAUCUUUAGUUUGCAUUUUUGCUAUAGACGAAUCAAAGUAAUCCAAUGAAAUUUCAAUAUUUGUUUUGUUGGAAACUUGUUCGAAUGCUUUUCCAAAAAAACUAAAACAUUUUAAUUAUAGUACACUUUAGAUGGAAAACUUUAUGCAUGCUGUAAUUAUAUUAUUAUUUAAUAAAUAAAAAAUUGUAAAACAA